ACCAAGGCGACGAUCGGUAGCCGGCCUGAGAGGGUGAUCGGCCACAUUGGGACUGAGAUACGGCCCAGACUCCUACGGGAGGCAGCAGUAGGGAAUAUUGCACAAUGGGGGAAACCCUGAUGCAGCAACGCCACGUGUGGGAAGAAGCAUUUCGGUGUGUAAACCACUGUCAUGAGGGAAUAAGGCCCGCUACGGACGGGAUUGAAUGUACCUUGAGAGGAAGCACCGGCAAACUCGUGCCAGCAGCCGCGGUAAUACGAGGGGUGCAACGUUGUUCGGAAUUACUGGGCGUAAAGGGAGCGUAGGCGAGAUUCAAGCGGAUUGUACAAUCCCGGGGCCCACCCCGGCUCUGCAUCCGAACUGGAUCUCUUGGAUAGUUCAGGGGGCAGGCGGAAUUCCUGGUGUAGCGGUGGAAUGCGUAGAGAUCAGGAAGAACACCGAUGGCGAAGGCAGCCUGCUGGGGACUCAUCGACGCUGAGGCUCGA
rnacentral:rRNA from 1 species